GGACUACAGGGGUAUCUAAUCCCGUUCGCUCCCCUAGCUUUCGCGCCUCAGCGUCAGAAGAGAUCCAGCAGGUCGCUUUCGCCACCGGCGUUCCUUCCGAUAUCAACGCAUUUCACCGCUCCACCGGAAGUUCCACCUGCCCCUACCUCCCUCGAGCCGAUCCGUAUCCCAGGCACUUUUCCGGUUAAGCCGAAAGCUUUCACCCCGGACGUGAUCGGCCGCCUACGCGCCCUUUAAGCCCAGUGAUUCCGAACAACGUUUGCACGGUUCGUCUUACCGCGGCGGCUGGCAC
rnacentral:rRNA from 1 species